rnacentral:rRNA from 1 species
GAUGAACGCUGGCGGCGUGCCUAAUACAUGCAAGUCGAGCGAACUGAUGAGGAGCUUGCUCCUCUGACGUUAGCGGCGGACGGGUGAGUAACACGUGGAUAACCUACCUAUAAGACUGGGAUAACUUCGGGAAACCGGAGCUAAUACCGGAUAAUAUAUUGAACCGCAUGGUUCAAUAGUGAAAGACGGUUUUGCUGUCACUUAUAGAUGGAUCCGUGCCGCAUUAGCUAGUUGGUAAGGUAACGGCUUACCAAGGCAACGAUGCGUAGCCGACCUGAGAGGGUGAUCGGCCACACUGGAACUGAGACACGGUCCAGACUCCUACGGGAGGCAGCAGUAGGGAAUCUUCCGCAAUGGGCGAAAGCCUGACGGAGCAACGCCGCGUGAGUGAUGAAGGUCUUCGGAUCGUAAAACUCUGUUAUUAGGGAAGAACAAAUGUGUAAGUAACUAUGCACGUCUUGACGGUACCUAAUCAGAAAGCCACGGCUAACUACGUG